AGAGAUGGUGUCUCUCUGUGUUCCCAAGGCUAGUCUCAAACUCUUGGGCUAAAAGCAGUCCUCCUGCCCCUGCCUUCCAAAGUGCUGGGAUUACAGGUGUGAGCUACUGCACCUGGUCCUUUCUAUGUUUAAUAUAAUUUAUUCUUAAUACUUACCAAGUUGUAUUCUAAUUUUUUUCCUGAACUUUGUUGUCUACUCACUGUGUUCUCUGAAUUAAUUUUGAGGUCAAGAAUUUUAUGUUUAUCAUGUUAUAGUUACUUAGAUGUAAGCUGAGAGAAUUAACUAGCUGUUUGAUGACUUGUUUUUCAAAUACCAGUGCAGCUCAGUUACGGUUUUCAGUCUGUAUAGAUCACCAAACCUUGACAUUUAUUGAAUAUUAAUGCCUCAGAUAUUAAACCUCUGGUACUUCGGAAAAUACAGGUAGCAUUGAGGUACAACUGCUGUUAUAUUUUUAUAGACUUCAUAUGUGAUUACAUAAUGAAGAGUAAUUUUUAAAAGCAGCCAAAUAAACAAUUUUUUUUGUGCUUGGUUUUCAAUACACCUAACUUUUUACUUCAGAGUAUUAGACUUACAGGAAGACUGGGAGGUUUCCAUUUAGGAAGAAAAAUUUUUUCACUGUUUCCUGUAUUCAAAACAUGGUGCUGAGCACUGUAGAGGAUACGGAGAAUGUUGGACGAUUUUAGGUUCUGAGUACUUAGAGUACUAAUGUUAAAAGAAACAGCUCAAACAUUCUGGGAGUUUAGAAAAUGAAAUUCUCUACUGAGGAUGUUCAGCUUGUCAUUAAAUAGUCUUGGCACUAUUGUGGGGUACUUUUGUGUGUAUAUGUGUGUGUGUGUGUGUGUGUGUGUGUGUGCGCGCGCGCGUGUGUUCAUAAAAUGAUGUGAUUUGUUUAUUAUUCCUGCUGUGUUGUAGGUAUACCUCAUGUCUUUUCAUUUGAAAUGGUAAGUUCUUCUAAUAAUUUUUGGUUCAGAAUGGUAAGAUUUUUUUUGCUAAUGUUAACCUUUUUUUGAGCAAUUGGAGAAGAGGAGAGUCCAGACCAGCAAAUAGACGUGAUUAACUAAUAUAAACAUAUCUUGUGCAUUGUCUAAUAUGCAAUACAAGUAAUAAUUUUAAUCAUUUAAUAGUUUGAAUUAAUAACAAGAUCCUAGGAAGGCAUAAAAAUCGAACUUGUUACUUCUGCUUUGCGACUUGUUUAACGUAUUUGGAGCCACCUUACCAGUGCUUGUUCUACAUAGUGACAGUAAAGUAUAUUUUAGGCUAGUCAGUAUCUAAGAUCGUCUGUACUUCAUAUUGAGGAUAGUAUCAAAUGUUAGAACUUUGUACUAAAACUAAAAAGUGAUAAUGUCUGUCUAUGUUCAGCAUUAAGUAACUACUAAUGAGAGGUAGGCUAUAGGAACUUGGGUUUGUAAGCAUCUUCUGAUGAGAUGCAGUUAUUUGAGUUAGAUUGAUAAUUAUAAUCACAAACUUUCAAAGGCUUUUACAAAUUUCAAGUAACUGAAAGUUUUAUGGGUAAGUUUGCUUCUUUUCUUAAUGUUAUCUUAGACUAUAUUGUGCACUAUGUAUCAAACCCUGGCUUUUCUGGUUGUAAGUUUACCAUAGUUUUCUUUUUUCUUUUUUUUUUUCCAGCACAAGCGACACAGAACCAUAGUUUUCUUAAAUCUUCAUUUGGUUUAUUAUUGUUUUUCCUACAUUUGAUUUUAACUAAUUGAUAUUAUUGUUACAGUAGUUUGUUUUAUAAUUGCAAAUUUUAAAUAACUUUGAUUUUUAUUUUGGUAUCACUUAAAUGUUUAAAAAAUGACUGUGUAUUUGAAUCUGUUGCUUUGAGCUAGCUACUUAGAAGAAAAUAUGUAUUUAUCACAAUUUCAACGCCCCUGGUAAAUUAAGAUGACUUAGCUAAUGCCUAGUAUCACAAACAGAAAUGGGUAUUCUCCUGUAUAAAAUAUGUACCUAACUCAUCAUGCAUUGGCUUUCUAUUCCUUGUUUUCGUCUUUUCUGCUUUUUUUCUGUCGAUGGGACCAAUUUGGAAUUGCUGCUUGCGCAGCUUAUAUUUGUUUGUUUUGUUUCAUCUUUCAUACCUUGACCUGGCCAGUUGUGAUAGUUUUACUUUGGUAAGGAAAUGCAUUGGAUAAGAAAGAGGUUAUGGAUCAAGAAAUGCAGACCAGUCACCGGUAUGUGAGUUUUGGUAAGAUUUUAUUGCUGGCAUUGUUUGUCUUACAGUUGAUAUCCUUGCUCCUUUUUUUUUUUUUUUUUUUUUUUUAGGACUUCUGGGUAAAAUAACUAAAUUUGAAGAAUAAUUAAAUACUAGUAAUCAAUUUUAGGUUUUAAAAGCACCUCUUUAGAGUGAGUUUACAAUGACAGUUGAAAAUGAUAAUCUUAAAAAUGCCCUCAGGUGUAUGCAUUAUAAAUACAGUUCUUAGGAGCAGUGGUGUGCGCCUGUAGUCCCAGCUACUUAGGAGGCUGAGGUGGGAAGAUCAGUCGAGUUCAGUAAUUCGAGGCCAGCUUCGGCAACAUAGCAAGAGGUCCAUCUCUUAAAAGAAAAUCUCAGCUGAAUAGAAGCUUCCUUAACAAUUAUUUUAUGUAAAAUACAUAUUUCCUUCUGUGAUAUAUGCUAGAUUGUGUUUACGUUUAAUUGAUCUUUGGUUAGAGAGCCACCCUAUGUAUUAAAAAACAGCCAUUGAUUUUGAUACACAUUCAGUUGAAUUUGACAGUAAUAUCAGAGUAAUUUAUUUACUCAAUUACCUGAACCACGCUUUUAAAAUACACUGUUGAAUGUAUUUGUUUUAAGAGGCAGAUGUCAAGUAAUGAACACAGUAAAUUCCCCUACUUUUAUUUGUCACUGCCUCUAUUUCUAAUUUAGUAUUUAACAAGUAACAACUACUUUUGUUUCAUGACUAAACCUUGCAGUAUAAAUUAAAAUGUAAUUAGCUGGGUGUAGUGGCAUGAUUUUAGUCCUAGCUAUGUGGGAGCCUGAGGCAGGAGGCUCAGUUGAGCCCAGUGAGUAUAAGUCUAACCUUGGCAGCAGAGUGAGACUAUAUCUUUUUUUUUUUUUUUUUUUUUUUUUUUUGAGACAGUGUCAGACUCUGUCUCCCAGGUUGGAAUAUGGUGGCUCCAUCUUGGUAGAGGCAUCGCAACCUCUGCCGCCCUGGUUCAGGCAAUUCUCCUGUCUCAGCCUUCCAAGUAGCAGGGAUUACAGACUCCUGCCAGUGUGCCCAGUUAGUUUUCGUAUUUUUAUUUUUCACUAUCUUGGCCAGGCUGGUCUGGAACUCCUGACCUCGUGAUCUACCCACCUUAGCCUCAAAGUGCCGGGAUUACAGGUGUGAGCCACUGUGCCCGGCCUUUUUUUUGUUUGUUUGUUUUUAAUGUAAUUGAUUAUUCAAAAGGAUUCAUUUUAAAGUUUCAAUAUUUUAGUAGUCUUUUUCAAAGGAACUUUAGAUUCAUAGCAAGAUUGUGUGGAAGGUACAGAGAUUUCCCAUAUAUCCUGUGUCAUAUACAUACACCUUCUCCCACUAUCAAAAUGUUUUACCAGAAUGAUGAAACCAGUUGCUGAAGCUAUGUUGACACGUUCUUAUCAACCAAAGUCUAUGGUUUACCUUUAGAUUUGCUCUGGGUGUACAUUCUGAGGGUUUUGACAAAUCUAUGACAUGAACCUACCAUUACAGGAUCAUACAGAGUAUUUUCACCCCCUUAAAAGCUUCUGUGCUCUGCUUCUUUAUCCCUUCCUCCUAACCCUUGGCAACCACUGAACCUUCUAUUGUCUCCAUAGUUUAGCCUUUUCUAGAAUGUCAUGUAGUUGGAAUCAUACAGUAUGUAGUCUCUUCAAAUUGGCUUCUAGUCACCUAACAAUAUGUGUUUAAGUUUCCUCUAUGUCUUUUCAUGGAUUGAUAGCUUAUUUCUUUUUAGCCCUGAAUAAUACUUUGUCUGGUUGUACCACAGUUCAUCCAUUCACCUACUAAAGAACAUCUUGGUUGCUUCCAGGUUUUAGCAAUUAUGAAUCAAGCUGCUAUAAACAUUCAUGUGUAGGUUUUUGCGUAGACAUAAGUUUACGCCUCCUUUGGAUAAAAAGCAAAGAGUGAUAUUGCUGUAUCAGUUGGUAAGAGUAUGUUUAAUUUUAUCAGAAAUGACCAAAAUGGUUACACCCAUUUGUAUUCCCUUCAGCAAUAAGUUAAAGUUCUUGUUGCGUCACAUCUUUGCCAGCAUUUGUUGUUGUCAGUGUUCAGAUUGUCACCAUUCUAAUAGGUUUUGUAGUGCUAUCUCAUUUUAAUUUGCAGUUCCGUCAAUGCAAUUAUAAUUCUAUCAAUGACAUACAAUGUGAAGUUUCAUUUUAAUAAUCAUGUAGCUGAGGAAUAUUUUCCCAGAUAUUCAUGGGUGAAGAUAUUUAGGAAUGCAUGUAUUAAGGGGAGAAAACCCGCCUUUGGGUAUGUGUAUGUAUGUAUAAAUAUAUACAUACAUACAUAGAGUCUUAUUUUUUAAAACUAUUUACCCCCUCCUUAACUAGCAGCAAAUAAUACAGUGUAUUGGAAAUUAUUGUUUUUAAUUGCCUGAAUUUAAAUGUUAAGUUUUCCAAGCAUUCACUGUUGGUUAGGUUGGAAAGUUUACAUGCUAUUGAGUUGUAUCAAUAGGAAUGUGUAUUUUUUUCCUCUUCAGUUUAAAACUUAAAAAACUUUUUUUGGAGCGAGGUCUGAUUCUGUCACUCAGGCUGGAGCACAGGUGGCACAAUCAUAGGUCACCAUAACUUUGAAUUCCUGACCUCAAGGGAACAUCUUGCCUUGAUCCCCCAAAGCCCUGAGAUUACACCAUGCCUGACCCUUUUUUACCUUUUUUUUU